rnacentral:rRNA from 1 species
AUUGACCGCUGGCGGCAGGCCUAACACAUGCAAGUCGAACGAGUGGCGGACGGGUGAGUAAUGUCUGGGCAACCGCCUGAUGGAGGGGGGUCACUACUGGAAACGGUAGCUAAUAACGCCUACACUACGUUGUGCCCAGAUGGGAUUAGCUGGUAGGUGGGGUAAAGGCUCCCCUAGGCGACGAUCCCUAGCUGGUCUGAGCGAAUGACCAGCCCAACGGGAACUGAGACACGGUCCAGACCCCUCCGGGAGGCGGCAGUGGGGAAUAUUACACAAUGAGCGCAAGCCUGAGGCAGCCAUGCCGCGUGGAGGAAGCGGGCCUUCGGGUUGGAAAGUACUUUCAGCGGGGAGGCGUUACCCGCAGAGGAAGCACCGGCUAACUCCGUGCCAGCAGCCGCGGUAAUAC